UACGAAGGGGGCUAGCGUUGCUCGGAAUCACUGGGCGUAAAGCGCACGUAGGCGGAUUGUUAAGUCAGGGGUGAAAUCCUGGAGCUCAACUCCAGAACUGCCUUUGAUACUGGCGAUCUUGAGUCCGGGAGAGGUGAGUGGAACUGCGAGUGUAGAGGUGAAAUUCGUAGAUAUUCGCAAGAACACCAGUGGCGAAGGCGGGUCUCUGGGCCGAUACUGACGCUGAGGAGCGAAAGCGUGGGGAGCGAACAGG
rnacentral:rRNA from 1 species